AACAACUCUAGUUGUCCAGUGUUUGAUUUGUAAAACUGUUUCAGGUACAGAACAAACUGGAGGCAAGGGACAGGACAA
rfam:Medicago truncatula strain A17 chromosome 3, whole genome shotgun sequence.